CUGCCUACACUUCCGCACAUCCUUGUUGGUGAUGACAGCUGUGGUCAGAUAGGGCAGAAUAUGUGGGCACAUGGCCAGAAUAGCAUCAAGAUACCUGGGAACGCAGGACACACACUUCAAAGGAAGGUUUCCUUUAUGGUCAGUAGGGAAUAGGGGUGGCUACUGACCAAAAAAACAAAAACCAACACAAAUAAAAAAAACAUGGACGGUAAUGGUGAAAGCAUCUUUAUUCACUGGUGCCACUGUGAAGGGGAGAGAAGGAAAAUCCCUACCUAGAUAUGGAUCAAUGGCCACCGGCCUGGCCAGCAGGUGAAAUACUACCCACGAGGGGCUUGUUUUUCAGCCACAGGUCAACUAGCUGUAGAUGGAGUGCAAGACUGAGCACUGAGUAGCACUACCAUUACAACCCAAGACAAAGUUUCUUCUCUGCAGCCGGGGACAGACCUUAGCAUUCAAUCAUAAAAGGGAAGGAAAAACAUACACACACAACGGACGCCUUGUCAUAAGACUGAGAGCUCCUUUUAAGGUGCACUUAACAUAUCAAGUCAAUUGGAAGGACAACCUUGGUGCCUGUGGUAUCGGAGUGAACAUCUCGGAACCCUUCACCCACUCACCCACCCCCACACACACUUCUGCCACAACCUCCUACGAGGAUCAAAUUAAAUUUGGAAGAGGAAGUAGAGUUGCCCUGCCUUGGCCAGCCACUAUAGCCCUCUUACGGGUCAGACUGCAGAAACACAUGUCGUUCUAGAAGAGAGGAAGACCAGCGGAUGGCUUAAUUAGCCAAAACAAUUAGAGGGACAAGAAGGCCUGUGGCACUUCAGAUGUCGGGGCUAAAAAUGGUAGUGGGUUCGGGUGGCGUGUGAUCCUGGCUGGUGUGGGCCCCUCCUCCCUUUGUAGUCGGUGGCAAACCACAACGCUGCAUGCUAUGUUCCUGAUUAACUUACACCUACUCACUCACCAGAGGGGGCUCCGAAGGCCCUCCUGCUUGCAUGAGUCAUGAUGCCAUAUCUGGGAUUCAUGUUCCAACACGGAGAGAAUUAUCUAAGCAGCCCGAUGGCUAAGUUUGUAACCACCAUUCAUCUUAACAGACUGCUUUAUAAUUUCACAAAGAUGUCAAGGGUGUAAGUUUAUAUUACCAAAUGUGUGUCACUCAGACAAUUAUGCUCAAACUAUUUUUCGCUCUAAUAGCGGUUUGAGAUUUAAAGUGCGCAGAGACAGAAGUCCAGAUAUGUAGUGAAUGGCUGUGCAGUUUCAGUUUCAUGUAUUUCAUGAUACAUGUGGGGGUUGGGAUUAGAAUUAGAGGCAAAUCACGUGCCACACAGAGCCACUGCGUAAGGGUAAGGAUAGUAUUACUUCAGUAUUAUCUUUCCUGUUUGCACCUAAAUCAUAGAUCAUCUUAUGACAAUAUUCUCGCUCCAGCUGCCCUUGGACAGACUGCAUAAUUUGAUAGCCAAACUUCUAUAUCAUUUUUCUUCUCUAAAAACUUUCAGGUUUUGAUUUUGUUUGUCUAUCCAUUCGACAGCAUGGCAGUGUCAUCAUCAUCAUCAUUAUCAUCAUCAUCAUCAUCAGCUUGAGGAGCCGCUGCAAAGCCAGCUGACUCGCCGUCUCAGAGCCUUGCAGCAAGGCUGCAGUAAGCAGAGAAGGUCUGGUGUAGCCUACACUGCAGGCUCACCCCAAGGGUCAAACACCCAGCCCAGGCUCACAUCCACAGACUGUGGUGGGCUUUCCAACCUGGACCCGUACAUCAUCCUACCUCAUCCGAUUUUAUUAGGACCAAACUAAAGCCAAAUAAAAUUUGAACGAAACCA